rnacentral:rRNA from 1 species
ACGGAAGGCAGCAGUAGGGAAUAUUGCACAAUGGGGGAAACCCUGAUGCAGCGACGCCGCGUGAGUGAUGAAGUAUUUCGGUAUGUAAAGCCCUAUCAGCAGGGAAGAUAAUGACGGUACCUGACUAAGAAGCCCCGGCUAACUACGUGCCAGCAGCCGCGGUAAUACGUAGGUGGCAAGCGUUAUCCGGAUUUACUGGGUGUAAAGGGCGCGUAGGCGGGAGAGCAAGUCAGAUGUGAAAUCCAUGGGCUUAACCCAUGAACUGCAUUUGAAACUGUUCUUCUUGAGUGCUGGAGAGGUAGACGGAAUUCCUUGUGUAGCGGUGAAAUGCGUAGAUAUAAGGAAGAACACCAGUGGCGAAGGCGGUCUACUGGACAGUAACUGACGCUGAGGCGCGAAAGCGUGGGGAGCAAACAGGAUUAGAUACCCUGGUA